UUGAGGCCAUAUCACGUUGAAACAAUGCUUCUCGUACAAUCACCGAAGUUAAGCAAUGUCGAGUCUGGUCAGUAUCUAGAUGGGUGACCGCCUAGGAAUACCAGGUGUUA